UUCCGGUUGAUCCUGCCGGAGGCCACCGCUAUUGGAAUCCGAUUAAGACAUGUGAGUCGAGAGUCUUCGGGACUCGGCAGACGGCUCAGUAACACGCGGAUAAUCUGCCCUUGGGUGGGGAAUAAUCUCGGGAAACUGAGCAUAAUACCCCAUAGGCCUGAGAUGCUGGAACGCCCUCAGGCUAAAAGCUCCGGCGCCCAAGGAUGAGUCUGCGGCCUAUCAGCUUGUAGUUGGUGUAAAUGACCAACUAGGCGACGACGGGUACGGGCAUUGGGAGAUGUAGCCCGGAGAUGGACUCUGAGACACGAGUCCAGGCCCUACGGGGCGCAGCAGUCGCGAAAACUUCACAAUGUGGGAAACCGCGAUGAGGGGAUUCCAAGUGCUUGCGUUUUGCGUAAGCUGUUCUCCUGCCUAAAAAGCAGGGGGAGUAAGGGCUGGGUAAGACGGGUGCCAGCCGCCGCGGUAAUACCCGCAGCCCAAGUGGUGGUCGAUAUUAUUGAGCUUAAAGCGUCCGUAGCCUGUCUGGUAAAUUCUUGGGUAAAUCGUGCAGCUUAACUGUCCGAAUUCCGGGGAGACUGCCAGACUUGGGACCGGGAGAGGUUGGAGGUACUCCUGGGGUAGGGGUAAAAUCCCGUAAUCCUGGGAGGACCAUCAGUGGCGGAGGCGUCCAACUGGAACGGAUCCGACGGUCAGGGACGAAGCCCUGGGUCGCGAACUGGAUUAGAUACCCAGGUAGUCCAGGGUGUAAACGCUGCAGACUUGGUGUCGGAGGUCCUACGGGGGCGUCCGGUGCCGGAGAGAAAUUGUUAAGUCUGCCGCUUGGGGAGUACGUCCGCAAGGAUGAAACUUAAAGGAAUUGGCGGGAGAGCACCGCAACGGGAGGAGCGUGCGGUUCAAUUGGAAUCAACGCCGGU
rnacentral:rRNA from 1 species